UACGUAGGGGGCAAGCGUUGUCCGGAAUCAUUGGGCGUAAAGCGCGUGUAGGCGGUUCGGUAAGUCUGCUGUGAAAGUCCAGGGCUCAACCCUGGGAUGCCGGUGGAUACUGUCGGACUAGAGUACGGAAGAGGCGAGUGGAAUUCCCGGUGUAGCGGUGAAAUGCGCAGAUAUCGGGAAGGAACACCAAUUGCGAAGGCAGCUCGCUGGGACGU
rnacentral:rRNA from 1 species